AUUGAACGCUGGCGGCGUGCCUAACACAUGCAAGUCGAGCGGUAACAGGUGUAGCAAUACAUGCUGACGAGCGGCGAACGGGUGAGUAAUGCUUCGGAAUCUACCCAAUGGUGGGGAAUAACCAGCCGAAAGGUUGGCUAAUACCGCAUACGUCCCACGGGAGAAAGCAGGGGAUCGCAAGACCUUGCGCCAAUGGAUGAGCCGAAGUCGGAUUAGCUAGUGGUAGGGUAACGGCCUACCAAGGCGACGAUCCGUAGCUGGUCUGAGAGGACGACCAGCCACACUGGGACUGAGACACGGCCCAGACUCCUACGGGAGGCAGCAGUGGGGAAUAUUGGACAAUGGGGGAAACCCUGAUCCAGCGACGCCGCGUGUGUGAAGAAGGCCUGCGGGUUGUAAAGCAC
rnacentral:rRNA from 1 species